UUUAACAACCGGGCCGAAUGACCUAUAUCUAUCCAUGCCGGUUUACCGGCUAUGGCGCUAAACGCGUUAUGGAAUAGGCGUUGUGGACCCGGGGGCAGUACCCGGCGCCUCCACCAUUUCCGGGAUCACUUGGGGCUUGGCUUGAUACAGACCUUGAGUGAUCCGGGAAAUCCGCCGGAUCGAUGGGUUGCAAAACCCGUCAUCGUCGGGCGGUCCGGGAUGGGGGCGAAACAGGAUCGACACGCGCAGUAAAGAUAACGUUUGUUCCCGGUAUGGUACCGCCGUUAUCGGGCUAUAUUAUAGUUGCAAACGAUAAUAACGCAGCUCCAGUAGCACUCGCAGCCUAAGGCAGCGCGUAAUACUGAAAUUUAAUUCCCUAGGCUUUGCCGUCUAGGGUGGGGACCGGAGGCCGCCUAGCAACAGAAGGCCUCCAC
rnacentral:tmRNA from 1 species